AUAGUCGUGUUAUGAUAAAAUGGGAUGGGAUCCGCAGCACCUCGAGGGCUAAAUACAGGCUCUUCCAUCCAACUCCUAUUCCGACAUGUCCUCAUCGUGCAGAGUGGUAACAUGUGCCACCACAUAUCCAAGCAUGGCAAAACGGUCACGU
rnacentral:ribozyme from 1 species